rnacentral:piRNA from 1 species
UUCCAGGAUUCUCUUUGCCUAGAACACAGA